rnacentral:lncRNA from 1 species
UCUCAACGGAUGGCGGCUCUUCUCAAUCCAAUUCGCUUCUCAGGUAAUCCUUACUCCGACGACUUUUUCCUCAAUUCUUCGUCUUUCUCAAUUGAAUCUGGAAAUCGUUAUCUUUUUCAAUUUCAUUGUAAAUUUUGCAGCUUUGAAUCAAGUGCUCUUUUUUCUAAAAGCUAUACAUGCAGUUGAAUGCAGAGAUUGGAGAAUUUGAUGAAGCCUUUGCAAUUUACAAGGGAUUAACCUUUUUUCCAAGAGGUAGAAGUAAACAUUGAAGAACUGAAUUUGGCACUAAAUAAUGAGCAGAUGGAUAACGAGGUAAGGAACCACAUGAUAUGGUGUCAAGCUCCUUCAUGAAACUAAAUUGGAUUAUGUGAUAUAAUUUAUUAUGAAGUUACCUUGAUCGAGUUGGUGAAGAAACAAAUCCCGUUUGUCAACUAGGUGAUCUGCAUAUGCUUGAAUUUGGGAGACGUUUUCUGCUCAUGACAUGUGUAUUUCUCUCUACAGAUUUCCAAAGCAAAGUUUGACCUUGUGCAAACUGUCCAAGAAAAUGCAAACGUUCGUCACAAAUUGUUCAAUCCCUGGUAUAUUUUUGUUCCUACUAGCACUAGUGCUAAGAUCAAAAUUUGUGUAUACACUAGUUUAAAUGUUUGUUGUGGAGACAGGGAGCUUUAGAAGAAAAGAAACUAGUACUUGGGGAAACAAAGAAAGCUGAACACUCCAGGAAAAGGCGGCCAUUCUUAACUCGGCGCAAAAAUAAACCUGCAAAGAAGAAGGAGGAGAAUGUUCAUG